rnacentral:rRNA from 1 species
AACGAUGAAACACCUUCGGGUGCGGAUUAGUGGCGGACGGGUGAGUAACGCGUGAGCAACCUGCCUAUCUGUGUGGGAUAACCGGAGGAAACCCCGGCUAAUACCGCAUAAUGCAACGGAAUCGCAUGGUUCUGUUGCCAAAGAUUUAUUGCAGAUAGAUGGGCUCGCGUCCGAUUAGAUAGUUGGCAGGGUAAAGGCCUACCAAGUCUGCGAUCGGUAGCCGGACUGAGAGGUCGAACGGCCACAUUGGAACUGAGAAACGGUCCAGACUCC